rnacentral:rRNA from 1 species
UACGUAGGGUGCGAGCGUUGUCCGGAAUUAUUGGGCGUAAAGAGCUCGUAGGCGGUUUGUCGCGUCGGCCGUGAAAACUUGGGGCUUAACCCCGAGCCUGCGGUCGAUACGGGCAGACUUGAGUUCGGCAGGGGAGACUGGAAUUCCUGGUGUAGCGGUGAAAAUGCGCAGAUAUCAGGAGGAACACCGGUGGCGAAGGCGGGUCUCUGGGCCGAUACUGACGCUGAGGAGCGAAAGCGUGGGGAGCGAACAGG